rnacentral:lncRNA from 1 species
GGGACCGAGCAACGGGAACUCACCCCGUCACGGGGAUUCAAACUGCCGACCUUCUGAUCGGCAAGUCCUAGGCUCAGUGGUUUAACCCACAGCGCCACCCGCGUCCCAAGUGACAUGAUAGACAUUAAUAAAAUCGUGCAGGGCAUGGCGAGCGUGGAGAGAGUUUUUCUCCCUCUCUCAAAACACUAGAACUCUUGGACAUCCAGUGAAGCUGAAGGUUCAGGACAGAUAAAAGAAGAGACUUUUUCAUGCAGCACAAAAUUCAACUGUGGAACUCCCUCCCCCAGUAAGCAAUGGGGACCUUAAAUGGCUUUAAAAGAGGGUUAGACAAGUUCAUGGCGAGGCCUCGGCUCUGCCUUCACAGCUGGAGGCAGCAAGGCUUCUGGACACCAGCUGCUGGAAACCACAGGAGGGGAGAAGGUUGGCCACUGUGAGAACAGGAUGCUGGACUAGGCUGGCCUGAUCCAGAAGGCUGUUCCUAUGUCCUUAUGGGAAGCCAGGGACCAGGCUUAAGACAUUCCUGGAAUCUAACAGGAACGAACCCUGCUGCAGAUACACAAACAAAUCAGCCAUUUAUUUCCUCUGUUGUUGUUGUUGUUUAGCCGUUUAGUCGUGUCCGACUCUUCGUGACCCCAUGGACCAGAGCACGCCAGGCACUCCUGUCUUCCACUGCCUCCCGCUUAUUUCCUCUAAGUUUCAUUAUAUUGCUGGUUAGUGUUUUAUGGGGAUUUUCUAUUCUGUUGUAGAUAUUUAAUUCUUACGUAUGGUUAGCAACUGUCAGUCUCGGGACUGUCCUGCUGGAAGACUGUCUGGCCAGAGUGGUGCAUGCUCUAGUUCUCUCCCACUUGGACUACUGCAAUGCGCUCUACGUGGGGCUACCUUUGAAGGUGACCCAGAAACUGCAAUUAAUCCAGAAUGCGGCAGCUAUUCAAAGUGCUGGUGUUGACCUUUAAAGCCUUAAACGGCCUCGGUCCUAUAUACCUGAAGGAGCAUCUCCACCCCCAUUGUUCUGCCCAGACGCUGAGGUCCAGCUCCGAGGGCCUUCUGGCGGUUCCCUCACUGCAAGAAGCCAAGUUACAGGAACCAGGCAGAGGGCCUUCUCGGUAGUGGCGCCUGCCCUGUGGAACGCCCUCCCGCCAGAUGUCAAAGAGAUAAAUAACUACCUGAC